rnacentral:rRNA from 1 species
UACGUAGGUGGCAAGCGUUGUCCGGAUUUAUUGGGGUUAAAGGGUGCGUAGGCGGCUUUGUAAGUCAGUGGUGAAAUAUGGCAGCUCAACUGUCAAGGUGCCAUUGAUACUGCGGAGCUUGAGUACAGAUGAGGUAGGCGGAAUUGACGGUGUAACGGUGAAAUGCUUAGAUAUCGUCAAGAACACCUAUAGCGAAGGCAGCUUACUAGGCUGUAACUGACGCUGAGGCACGAAAGUGUGGGGAUCAAACAGG